rnacentral:rRNA from 1 species
CCUACGGGUGGCUGCAGUGGGGAAUAUUGCACAAUGGGCGCAAGCCUGAUGCAGCCAUGCCGCGUGUGUGAAGAAGGCCUUCGGGUUGUAAAGCACUUUCAGCGGGGAGGAAGGCGUUAAGGUUAAUAACCUUGGCGAUUGACGUUACCCGCAGAAGAAGCACCGGCUAACUCCGUGCCAGCAGCCGCGGUAAUACGGAGGGUGCAAGCGUUAAUCGGAAUUACUGGGCGUAAAGCGCACGCAGGCGGUCUGUCAAGUCGGAUGUGAAAUCCCCGGGCUCAACCUGGGAACUGCAUUCGAAACUGGCAGGCUAGAGUCUGGUAGAGGGGGGUAGAAUUCCAGGUGUAGCGGUGAAAUGCGUAGAGAUCUGGAGGAAUACCGGUGGCGAAGGCGGCCCCCUGGACAAAGACUGACGCUCAGGUGCGAAAGCGUGGGGAGCAAACAGGAUUAGAUACCGAGUAGUC